AAAAAGGGUUUCUGUUGUGCAUGGCACAUAUUAUGGGGUAGGGGUAUACUCCACCGUUUUUCAUGCAGAAUCAAAAUCAAGAGACUUCAGAAGCACAAUUUUUGUUCCUGGGCAGCUGGUAAUUGUUGGUCCUUGCACCCUA